rnacentral:rRNA from 1 species
CGGUGCCUAACACAUGCAAGUCGUACGAGAAAGCCGGCUUCGGCUGGUGAGUAAAGUGGCGCACGGGUGAGUAACGCGUGGAUAAUCUGCCCUUAAGUGUGGAAUAACGUACCGAAAGGUGCGCUAAUACCGCAUAAUGCCUGGCAACACAAGUUGUCCGGCCAAAGAAGGCCUCUGUUUACAAGCUUUCGCUUCAGGAUGAGUCCGCGUACCAUCAGCUUGUUGGUGGGGUAAUGGCCUACCAAGGCUGCGAUGGUUAGCUGGUCUGAGAGGAUGAUCAGCCACACUGGAACUGAGACACGGUCCAGACUCCUACGGGAGGCAGCAGUGAGGAAUAUUGCGCAAUGGGGGCAACCCUGACGCAGCAACGCCGCGUGAGUGAGGAAGGUUUUCGGACUGUAAAGCUCUGUCGAGCGGGAAGAAGUGUACCAUGGCUAAUAUCCAUGAUAUUUGACGGUACCGCUAGAGGAAGCACCGGCUAACUCCGUG